rnacentral:rRNA from 1 species
GACGAACGCUGGCGGCGUGCUUAACACAUGCAAGUCGAACGGAAAGGCCCUGCUUUUGUGGGGUGCUCGAGUGGCGAACGGGUGAGUAACACGUGAGUAACCUGCCCUUGACUUUGGGAUAACUUCAGGAAACUGGGGCUAAUACCGGAUAGGAGCUCCUGCUGCAUGGUGGGGGUUGGAAAGUUUCGGCGGUUGGGGAUGGACUCGCGGCUUAUCAGCUUGUUGGUGGGGUAGUGGCUUACCAAGGCUUUGACGGGUAGCCGGCCUGAGAGGGUGACCGGCCACCUUAGGACUGAGAGACGGACCAGACGCCUACGGGAGGCAGCAGUGGGGAAUAUUGCACAAUGGGCGGGAGCCUGAUGCAGCGACGCCGCGUUCGUGAUGACGGCCUUCUGGUUGUAAACCGCUUUCGCCUGUGACGAAGCGGUAUUGACGGUAAUUGGUAAAAAAGCACCGGCUAACUACGUG